rnacentral:rRNA from 1 species
AUGAACGCUGGCGGCGUGCCUAAUACAUGCAAGUCGAGCGAACAGACGAGGAGCUUGCUCCUCUGACGUUAGCGGCGGACGGGUGAGUAACACGUGGAUAACCUACCUAUAAGACUGGGAUAACUUCGGGAAACCGGAGCUAAUACCGGAUAAUAUAUUGAACCGCAUGGUUCAAUAGUGAAAGACGGUUUUGCUGUCACUUAUAGAUGGAUCCGCGCCGCAUUAGCUAGUUGGUAAGGUAACGGCGUACCAAGGCAACGAUGCGUAGCCGACCUGAGAGGGUGAUCGGCCACACUGGAACUGAGACACGGUCCAGACUCCUACGGGAGGCAGCAGUAGGGAAUCUUCCGCAAUGGGCGAAAGCUUGACGGAGCAACGCCGCGUGAGUGAUGAAGGUCUUCGGAUCGUAAAACUCUGUUAUUAGGGAAGAACAAAUGUGUAAGUAACUAUGCACGUCUUGACGGUACCUAAUCAGAAAGCCACGGCUAACUACGUGC